UGUACUCUUUGAUUUAAAUAUAUCAGCUGUUAGUUUGGUAUUGUAUGAGUUUGGUAUCUCAAACAGACUUGUUUAUGUGCUUUCUGACGCAGUAUGACAUACUGAUGUCUAUAAAACUGAGCAAACGGAUGUGACAGAGCUAAAAACAGAUGCAGUGCACAUCCUGAAGCCCAACUCACUUUCUUCCUCGCUACAAGGUUUAAAACCUGCACCAGGAUACACUCUGAUUUGAAGAGGCAUAUAGCCCCAAUUUGGCUUUCAUGUACAUUUUAUUUUUAUAUCCAAACGUAUUUAGCUGCUCUUAUAGCACACUUUGUUCAUUUGUUCAAUGUCUAUGUCCGAUAUUGAGCAUUUUUGUAAUAUUUUGCACAUUAUGCAUGACAUUAAACUGGGUGCUAUAAGCUUCCAUUAACAUAUCCUAGAUUUGGGGUAGACGAUAUAUAUUCAUCCAUGGUUUCUGUGUCAUUUUGGAACGAUACCAAUGUAUUUCUCUGACCAUUUGCAAUGUUAAUGCAACAUUGAAUUAAAGAUUAUAUGCUAAAGGACAAAGAAAAAACCUUGAACCUUCUCCCAGACUGCUUGAAAGUGGAAUCAUUAAUAAAUUAAUUAUAAACAUUUAGUUAUGAGAAAGUUUCAUACUAAAUAUGAGAUACACUAUAUUACUAAAGGUUUUGGGACACCCCUCUAAAUCACUGAAUUCAUGUGUUCCAAUCUCUUCCAUGGCCACAGGUGAAUAAAUCACACUCCUAUGCAUGCAGACUGCAUCUGCAAACAUUUGUGAUUCAAUGGGUCGCUCUCAGGAGCUUAGUGAAUUCAAGUGAAAGAGUCUACAAGCUAUAGACCGCCAAACUUCAUGUGACCUUCAGAUUAGCUCAAGAACAGAGCUUCAUGGAAUGGGUUUCCAUGUCCGAGUAGCUGCAUCCAAGCCUCACAUCACCAAGUGCAAUGCAAAACGUUGGAUACAGUGGUGUAAAGCACGUGACCACUGGACUCUAGAGCAGUGGAGACAUCAGUGCCUGACCUCACAAAUGCUUUAUUCUAGAGGAAUGGUCAAAAAUUCCCAUAAACAUGUUCCUAAUCCUUGUGGAAACCUUCCAACUGAAGCUGUUAUAGCUGUAAAUGGUGGGCCAAAACUUUUUGCAAUAUAGUAUAUCAUGAAGUCUGUAUCAAGAGGUAAUUUCAAAAUGUGUGUGUGUGUGUGUGUGUGUGUGUGUGUGUGUGUGUGUGUGUGUGUGUGUGUGUGUGUGUGAGAGAGAGUGAGAAAGAGAGAGAGAUUCAUUUUACAUGCAUUUUAUCUCUUAUGUGCAUAAAUAAUUCUGGAGUUGUAUGAAUAUGAAUAGAGAAUAACUAAAAUUAGAUUGUUUGUUCAUUAAAAGUUUUAUUUUAAUAUUUUGA